AUGAGAAAAAGGGGAUGUUGCAUCUUUGUUGAUCUUUGUGCUAUCACCCUUUCAUUUUACUCAACAAAGAUACAAAAUGCUGCCGCACAUUGCCACAUAUCUGAUGCCGGAUGAUGCAGCAAACACAAAACUGCAUCCCCAAGAGUGCAAACUACAUUCUUGCAUGGCUUUAUCACCUAGUUAUGGAGUUACGGUGUUAAAACCAGACUGUAGUUACAAGUUGCUUGCAGUCAAAUGAUUUCCAAAGACCCUUUUAAGGAAAAACUAUGAGCCUCCAUGAGUCUCCUGUGUGCAGUAGCAGGCCAAAUGAAGCAUGUCUGACCUUGGGGACAUGGAAGCAGGGAGUCUGUGGUCGUUUCCCUGUAGUCUGACCCCGGCCAUCCCCUCUUAACCUUCCUCCAGUCUCUGACUCAUUUCCUUUCAUCCAAUCGGAAAGGGAGUCAAAGUGAUACACCAGAGACAUCUGAGAGCCAGGGAAGCUGUGAAGCAUUGUCCAGAAUCCAACCAUCAGACCACAGAUGACACGGCUUAAAAAAUCUCAUCCAUAUAAACUUGAUGUUUAGGUCAUCGUUUUUCAUCUGACCUCAUUUGAAGGUUUCGAUUUUCUCUGAGAAUUAAAACCAAGAGCGAGUGUGUCUGCACAUAAGCAAGUGUUGCGGAUGUCGUCCCUGUUGACUUUUAACUCCAUGGAGACAACGCCGAUAGCUUCCAUCGAGUGAUGCAUGUAGUAAUGAUAAAUGUGUUGACGAAGCCAAGCUCCUCAGUUCUUAGGACAUGAUGUAAUUACUUCCUGAUCACUGAUGCAGUUGGAAAGUUGUGGUGUAAUUUUAUGUAUUUAGAAAUGAAGGGUCGAUUAUGCAUAACAGCACGGGAAUACAUGACUGAUGACAAUGUGUUUCGCAUUAUUGUUUUCCAAAAAAGAAAAUAGCCAGCAGGCUAAUUGAGAAACCUGA